AUUGAACGCUGGCGGCAGGCCUAACACAUGCAAGUCGAACGAGUGGCGGACGGGUGAGUAAUGUCUGGGAACUGCCCGAUGGAGGGGGAUAACUAUUGGAAACGAUAGCUAAUACCGCAUACUGUGAGAUGGACCUGCGUUGUAUUAGCUAGUUGGUGAGGUAAAGGCUCACAAAGGCGACGCUACAUAGCCGACCUGGGAGGUUGGUCGGCCACACUGGGACUGAGACACGGCCCAGGCUCCUGCGGGAGGCAGCAGUAGGGACUCUGCGGCAAUGGACGGAAGUCUGACCGAGCAACGCCGCGUGAGUGAAGAAGGUUUUCGGAUCGUAAAGCUCUGUUGUUAGAGAAGCGGUAACUAACCAGAAAGGGACGGCUAACUACGUGCCAGCCGCCGCGGUAAUAC
rnacentral:rRNA from 1 species